GACGAACGCUGGCGGCGUGCUUAACACAUGCAAGUCGAACGGAAAGGCCCUGCUUUUUUUUCGGACUCGAGUUGCGAACGUGGUAGUAACACGGUGGUAACCUGGCCGAGACUUUGCGAUAACUUCAGGAAACUGGUGGUAAUACCGAAUAUGAGCUCCUGCUGUAUGGUUGGUUUUGGUAAGUUUAGGCGGUUGGGGAUGGACUCGCGGCUUAUCAGCUUGUUGGUGGGGUAGUGGCUUACCAAGGCGUUGACGGGUGGCCGGCCUGAGGGGGUGACCGGCCACAUAGGGCCUGAGAUACGGACCAGUCUGCUACGGGAGGCAGCAGUGGGGAAUCUUGCACAAUGGGCGGGAGCCUGAUGCAGAAACGCCGCGUGCGGAAUGACGGCCUUCGGGUUGUAAACCGCUUUUGCAUGUGACGAAGAGAGAGUGACGGUAAUGGGUAAAGAAGCACCGGCUAACUACGUG
rnacentral:rRNA from 1 species